GAUGAACGCUAGCUACAGGCUUAACACAUGCAAGUCGCGGGGCAGCAUGGGGGUUGCUUGCCAUCCCCGAUGGCGACCGGCGCACGGGUGAGUAACGCGUAUCCAACCUGCCCUUCACCACGGGAUAACCCGGCGAAAGUCGGACUAAUACCGUAUGUUGUCCAUUGACGGCAUCCGAUUUGGACGAAAGGCUUGGCGGUGAGGGAUAGGGAUGCGUCCGAUUAGCCAGACGGCGGGGUAACGGCCCACCGUGGCUACGAUCGGUAGGGGUUCUGAGAGGAAGGUCCCCCACACUGGAACUGAGACACGGUCCAGACUCCUACGGGAGGCAGCAGUGAGGAAUAUUGGUCAAUGGGCGUAAGCCUGAACCAGCCAAGUAGCGCGCAGGAUGACGGCCCUAUGGGUUGUAAACUGCUUUUAUGCGGGGAUAAAGUGGCCCACGUGUGGGCUUUUGCAGGUACCGCAUGAAUAAGGACCGGCUAAUUCCGUG
rnacentral:rRNA from 1 species